rnacentral:lncRNA from 1 species
UGCGUAGAGUUACGAUAAGAAGGGACAAAACUUGAACAAUGAGCGCACAUAUAAUCCCCAACCAGAGGCCCUAAUCCAAACAUUUUAACAGACAAGAUUACAUGAAAUCACUUGCUUCAAGUUAAUUGGAGACGACAAAAAACGUAUUCUAGUAAAAGGGAGAAUGGUGAACUCUUACCCUGCCUCCAAUGUGGAAGACAAAAGCUAAUAAAAUAGCACACGGAAUUCCCACAAGAUAAUAUGAUCCUAGAUUGACAAAGGCACCAAUCUUCUGCCAACCGCAUCCUCUAGCAGUGCCUAAAUGUUCAGGAACAAUAAAAUUAGCCGCUACAGUCUACAUUCAAGUUCUGCAGAAGAUCAUCUUCAAUAUUCCAUUCAGUUGAUGGAGAUUAUAUUCUAAGUGCAAAGUGAUUGUGUUUUUUGUGACAACAAAAAUGUGUUUUGUUUAGUGGUAAAUGUUGACAUUACUUCAAAUAUUGAGUAAUGAGCACAAACAUUAUCAAAUAAAAGGUGGUGGUUUGUCUGUUUUCUUAUGGUCUGGAGCCUUAAAGAAAUGGAUGAUAAUUAUACUAGUCGUAGAUGAAAGUCAAGAAAACCUGAAAGGACACACUGCAUUCCAUCUAGGAAGUUGGAUAAUGCAACAAUUGGCAUCAUGGCUGCUACAUAUUUGACCACUUCUAUUUCAUUGCUGUAGGCAUAGCCCCAGAUGUUCCUUAUCAAUAUCAGAAGUAGUCCAAGGAGAGUGCCUUCAGCUAUGGCCAUGACUAAGACGACAAAUACUGCUAAACGUGCAGCUUGUGGAUGCCCUGCCCCAAGUUCAUUUGAGACCCUUGUGCUGUACAGAGAAAUGAAGAAUACAUGCAUCAAAUCAAAGUUGUGGGAGGCAUGGUUUUGAGUUUCCAUUACAACAUCAAGUUCACUUGUGGUUGAAAUCAAGAUGAUAUCCUACAAAUUAAUUAGUUGACUUUUUUGUAAACCAAGUAUGGGAAUUUUGGCUCUGAAUCAAGUCCUAGCCGUUAAUGUUAAAAAGUUCAAUGUUGAAUACAUGUUCAAUUUAGACCGACUUACCUCACAGCUCCACUGAGUCCAAAGGGGAUCAUCCAAACUGUUGCAGCAGUAUUAAGGCUGGGAAACAAAUGUGUUCCAUUAAGAUCAGACUAUAAUGUGGGGUUGUACAUAAGAAAUCAAUAAAACUCAAUGGAAAUCAAGAAAAUCCUAAGAAAUGAAGACAGAUAAUGUUGGGAUUCAACACUCACCAGAUCGAAAGCACUGAAGUCUGUAACUUUGGAUUAGGAAGGAGACCAGAUAGAAGAACCAUCAGCUCAAAUGACCACAUUUCCAAGCUGUUCAAUUUUAUGGAAAUAAACUGCAUUCAAAUCUUUAGACACAUUGAAUACAAAUCACGAUAAUGAGACUGUUUCAUAGUAGAGGAAGAUAAAAUGAAUUUUCCAGAUGUUUUUGUUAUCUUCUUGAAAGCAUAAGAAAUGGAAAUUUACCAGACCAUAACAGCAGAAGGAAUAGCAAGUCUAAGAAAACUCGGGAUAUUAUGCAGGGCCUCCUUUGAAAAUCCAGUCCUAGUUUUCGAGCAAGAAGAAGAGAAUUUAACAUAUAGUGCCAACAAUAAAACAUUGAUCCAACAGGAGAUGCUAUUUGCCAAAGCAGCCCCUUUACUUCCAAGGCCAGAUUUGAAAACCAGAAACCAGCACACCAGAACAUGCAGUAAGGUUGUGAUUCCAGAGCUUAGCAUCAUUGGGAAGACUAUGUUUUGGGUUUGCAAGAAUCUGACAAGGCACUGAAGGAGGCCAUAGGCAAAGAGGCUCGGGAUCAUGAAACGGGCAUAAAGUUCGGCUUCUUGUGAUAUCUCAGGAUCUUGGCCCACGGCCAUUAGAAUGGUUCCUGUAUAUGCCCAAAUGGUAGCAAGAGGUAUGCUAACAAUUAGAAGAAUAAGCAUGGCCCUCUGCAUGUGUAUACUGAGCAUAUGAUACUGCUUUGCUCCAUAGGACUGCCCACAUAAGGUAUCCAAUGCACUUGCCAUCCCCAUCUAUCCAACCAAAAAGAAAAAUGACAAACAAAUUUUCAGUUCAAGUUUUACUUAGCAAAAGACCCUCCUAAACAGACAAGGAAAAAAAAAAAAAAACACAAAUUGGGUUUACAUGUAGCAUUUAUGCUUCUUCAUUAGGCUGUGAAAGGGCCAAGGGAAGAUAGAUAAUUCAACAUUUUCCCCACUUUUUGGGACUGGAAUGGUUACUACCAACAAAAGAAACUCUUAUGGAAACAAAUUUAAUAGUUCUUGUUAUAGCUGCUUAUUAAUGCAUUCGUCCGGAUAAAUCUUUAUCAUCAAGGAUUUCAAUGGAAAGGCUAAAGGCUUCAUUUCAAUCUCAGGAGAAAACAAGGAAAAUAAAAAGUGCUUAAGAUAACUUUAAAAUAGAUUUUUUUUCCCAAGCCAUCUUCAGAUUUUAAUUUUCCUCCCUUUGUUCUCAACAAAAUAAGAAAAACAGAGCCUACAGCUGUGAUAAACCACUAAGCCCAUCUCUCAAAUCAAUUCCACAAUAACAAAAAUGUAAAAAUGGGCUGAAAAUUGCAGAGCCCAUUAAAGGAAAAAUCAUAUAAGCGAUUACAGCCAAGAAAAUCAAGUCUACACCUGUCCUUACUGAAGUAACCAAGUUUACCACUCGUCCUGUGCACAAAACACAGACAAGAAAUCAUUAUACCCAUUACUCAAAACUAUACAACAUUCCCUAAACGAAAGGCAAAUCACAUAAAUUGAAUAGCACAACAGUCCCACCAAGUUCGAGAUGUAUAUCCACCCUCCACGCUCAUAGAUUUCUAUAUUACAGAGAAAACAAGCGAGAGAAAAGAAACCCAACUCACCAACAAGCUGGACCCAGUGACAGAAGCAAAGGAAGUAGCCAUUGAAGCACCAGAGAGAGCUAACUCACCCAGAUGACCCACAAACAUCACAGAUAUCAGCUGCAAACAAUACUGCAAAAGGCUGACAGAUAUCAAAGGUCCUGCCAACCACAGCUGCUUCUUCACUUCUUCUACUACCUUAUCUCUCUGAAAAACCUUCCCUUUGCUUCUCUCUCCACCAUCUUCUCCACAGCUUUGGAUCAGAGGAGACCUCAGAGUUGGCUUCUCAUCCCCUCUAUCCAUCUUCUCCUUCACACACACUCGCAGAGGAGAAGGCCAAUUCAGCGGUGCCUAUUGCUCUAUAAACAAUCGAAAUCUUGUAAUGCCUAAAAUGCCCAUACAUUGAAUGGUAAAAGGUUAGAAUUAUUUGAAUGUGGCAGUCUGUGAUUGGCUAUAUUUUGGAGGUACAGGCCAAAAGCAGUGGGGCUGGUUCCAUAUGAUUGUCCAAAUACAUAAUAAUUUAGAAAAAGACAAAAGAUGAAGAGGGCAGCUACCAUAUUUGACUGUUGGAAGGCUCUGACUCACAGUAAUAAAUAGAUAUUUAUAUAUAUUGGGGAAAUGAUACUAAUUAUCGAGGGAGAGGGAGAUUUUUGGAAAGGAAAAAAAAUUGUCCAGUCCAAUCAUGGUUGGUGGUGCACAAAAUGUUAAUGUUGAGUCAGGAAAGAAAUAGGGAAUAACCAUGUACCACCUACAAAAAAACGUGAGAUUUUAAAACUUUACAUUUUUUCUUUUUUUAAUUUUAGUGUAAAAUGGGAAAAGAUAUCACUUAAUCAGGCAUUGCUUUCAAAUUUAUUUCAUAAUUAUCCUCAAAAAGUAAAGGACAAAGUACUUUUAUUAUUUUUCUCUCCUUAAUAUAUCUCCCUUACCAUUUGCUAUCUUCCCAUUUUUUUCUUUUUUUUUCCCUCUGUUGCUACCAUAAUACAUUGUCACAUAUUAUAGUUUUUUUUACUAUUUUUAUUCUUUUACUUUAUAUAUAUAUUUAAUAUGCUCAUGUAUCUUCUUAUAAAAUUUCUUUAAUUUAAAUUUAUUUUUACUCUCUAAUUUCUCCAUAUUUAUUGAUUUUAAUUUUUAUUUACGUAUUAAACUUAAAAUGAUAAUAUAUAAUAAAUAGUUAAUAUAACAAAUGAAAUAAAAACAAAAAUAUAUAAUGGAUAAAAAUGAAAAUACUCUCCCACAAAUAAUAUAUUUGAUGACUUUAAAUAAUAAUUAUAUUAAUACAUUUUAUUACUUUAUCCUUUACUUUUAAGGGUAAUUGUAGAAUAAAUUUGAAAACACCAUUAGAGUGCAUGAAUAGAUAAUAUUUUUUUUUGAUUUUACACUAAAAUUAGAAAGGAGAAGGUAAAGUUCUAAAAUCUCAUAUUGUUUGUAGUUGGUGUAUAACCAUAUGAUUUCCUCAAACAAAUAUCCAUGAUGGCAAAACCAACUAUUUCAACUUAUUGGUAUACUCCUGAUAUCACAAUCAUAUAUUUUGAGGACAUGUUUAUUGUUAUAACGUCCCAACUCGUCGUAUGACCACAUUUUAUAAGUUGUUAGAUGUGUGCUUAUUCCAAAUGUUUCUACUUAGUUACAUCGAAUGGUUUCAAAUGAAAAGAUACUAAACUCGAACCUGAAUGAAACAAACCGGAUGUCCAUCACAAUAGAGCCCGAGUGUUUAUAUACACAAUAAUUUUGGUUUUGCUAAAAAAAGAACAUUACUCUAUAAAUUCAAAUUAAUUUUUUUUACAACUUAUUAAAUUUUGUGAGAUACAAAUUAACAAAAUAUCAUUCAAACUUUAUUUGAUUGAAGAAAAAUUAAGCUGAUAUGUUUUUUUUUUUUAAAGAGUUAUUUGAUUAAAGGAUGAAACCAUCCAAUUUUGUAAAUUUAAUCUUCGACUUUUUUCAACCCUAAAAAUACCCAUUUUGGAUAAAAAUGCCCUCAAUUUUUUCUUUUAAAAAUGACCAUUUUUUUUAAAUACACAUGUAAAUAAUCACUAUAUUGAGGAGCAUUUAUGUCAAAAAAAUGUUACUUAUUAAUACAAAAAAUAAAGGAGGGUAGAUUUACAAAAUAUAAUUUUUUUUAUCCCUUUUAAUAAAUUAAUUAAAAAAAAAUGAUAUGUUGACACUGUUAGAUGAUAUGUUUUUAAUGAAAUUAAAGUUUAUAAAUUAUAGUUUAUCUUAAAGCCUGAUUAUACUUGACUAAAAUUUAUUAAACAUGGAAUUGCAUUAGCCUAAAUAAAUUUUAAUAUAUAUAUAUAUAUUAAUUUUCAUAUUAAACUAUUUUGACAAAAUUAUCAAAAUAAGUAAAUUAAGAUACCCUUAUAAAGCUUAAAAACAAUCUUAUAACUUGUUGAAAGCGAUAAUAUAAAUAUGACUUUAUCAUUUAAAAUAAAAUUAAGUGAUAAGUUUUAAGUAAUGAGGCAUUUUAAGUGAUAAGUCAUUAGCCACGAAGUUUUCAAUUUUAUAUAAAACUUAAUAAGGUCUAACUUUUAACUAAAGUAAAAGUUAGAGUAUGUCUACAAAUUAUAUUAUAUUACUAGUUAUCUUUUUUCCAUGAAUAAAAGAAGAAAAAGAAUAAACUUCACUUGCAUGCAGUCAAAUUAAGUCUAAUAUUUAAAGUAAGAUUCAAUAGCUUAUGAUAAUUAAGUUUUGUCAUUUUAUUUGAAAUGCAUGGACAGUAUGUUGCUAUUUGUUCGUCUCUUUGUGGUUUAAUUCUUGGAAUCUGUGGACUAAAAAAUAGUGAUAGUGAAUGGUGAUGACUCCUCAUAUGAUCAUAUCUUGUCAUUAUUGGAUAAAUGUCUAAAUUGAAUUCAACUUGAUGGCAAAAACAAGAGUAGUAGUUGGGCAUGUGAAGGCUUUUUCUAAGGCAAGACACCUACUUGAGCUGCAAGAAUGGCUUUCUGUCUAAGUAGACUAUAAGUUGAAUUUAAUAUGAAGCAGCCAGACAUGGACUUCUAGUAUUUAAAAAAAUAUCCACAAUGAAAAUUGCUUCUAUUUUAAUGGCAUAGUAAGAAAGAGUUCCGUGUUUGUUUUAUUUAUUGUAUGACGAUUUGAUUUUUUGCCCCUAUUUCAAUAAUGUCAACAUUAUAUUUGACAAAAAAAAAAAAAAAAAAAAUUAGAGUAAGUGUAAAGUAGUGGACUGAGAUUUGAUGUUAUGACUGUAUGGCUCAAAUCAAGUAAGAACUUGUUAAUUAAUUCUAUAUAUAAUUUUCAUAAUUUCUGGCAUCUCUUAUUUAUUUAGAACCCUUUUACUCAUAUAUAUAAAGAUUUUCAAAGCUUGAUUUUUAUAGAUAUAUUCAUAGUUGGAUUUAAAAAAAAAAAAUCGGUGUGACAUAAAUGAUGAAAACUCAUCAAAAAAUUAGAGAAUAUUAAAAAAAUGAUAAAAAAAAAAUAAUACAUAUUUAAAUUAUUUUAUUGAAAAAAAAUUAUAUAUAUAAUUUGUGCAAUAUUAAGUAAUAAUACAUGAAACUUGAAAACAUAUUUUUAGAUAUUUAUUUAAUUUAAAUGUAUUCAAAGGUAAAAAAAAAAAUGGUGAUAUAUUUAUGAUUUUUUUUAAAAUGUUUAUAAUUUUAUUUUCAAAUUUAUAUUUAUCUUAUAUUCAAUUAAUAUAUAAAGAGAUUAAAAAAGGUUUGAUAAUGGUUUUUAUAUUUUAAUAAUUAAUGAAAUGAGAUUUGAAAUAAUUAAUGAAAUGAUAUUUGAACAUAAGAUAAUUAAAAUUAAUUUAUUAUUAAAAUUUCAUUUCAAUAUUUUUAUUUUCUAGGAAUGUAUUAAAAUGUAUAAUCAUUUCUACAAUUUUUUAAAAAAAAAUAAGAAAUCAACUUCAGUAUAUAAUUAAUGUUAGCAGUAAAUAAGGGUGGAUUUGCUCAAAAAUAAAAUGCCUGAAAUAUCCACAAAAAAUCUGCAAAGCUAUAUCAACUUUUCUAUUCAAAUAUUUUUCCGGUGAGCAGCAAUAAUCGAAAUUUUUGGCCACCAAUAACCAAAAUUUCUAUGAAAUAUUCACAAUAUUUUCUGAAAUUUUCAUCCUUAGUGAAACCAAAAGAUUGUGAUUAUUUCCAUGAAAACCUACACUUUAAAAAAAGACUUUAAAAUUGAUUUUGAAAACCAUUUCCAAGAACAACUCAGAUGUUAAAUAGCAGUUAUUUUAAGAAAUAAUACAUAAAUUAAUGAAAGUACAAGAUUAUGAAACAAUUUGAGGUUAUUAAUGAUUCAGGUUUUGAUUACACUAACUGAAAUAUCAAAUUUUAGUUUCCUCCAAUAUUUAUACUUUAGUAACAUAUUUCAAUCACAAUUUCUUUGGUAUUAUUAUUAUAAUUGCCAAGAAACUGAAACUGUUACUGCAAUAUAAGUAGUUGUAAUCCCAUCAGAAAAUUGUGAUUCUGAUGAAAAAUAAGUUUGACGUGGGUGGGUGAGUAUGUAUGAUAAAGUAGAGGAGGUUUGUAUGAUGGACGCUGUCCUUAUAAAUAAUAUUCAUCAUGAGUAUGUAUUAUUCAUCAAGAGUAUGUCUAUAAAAUUUUGAAAAUUAAAAUCAAAAUAGAGAAAGGGGAACAAAAUAUAAAAAUUGCAUACUUAUUUCUUAAGGCUCAUACUUAUUUUCUCUCUUACCCUCUAUUUAUAUAAAACUCAAUUACAAAACCAUGGUGUUGAGAUUUAUCAUCUCAUAUUGAAAUUUAGAUCCUCGAAUUUAAUAUAUAUAUAUAAUUUUAUGAUUAAAUAAAGUUAUUUAUUAUAUAAAUAAAAGAAAUAACUAGUUUUUUUAAUUAAAAAUUAUCAUUUAUUAAAAAUAAAAUAACUCUUAUUUUCUCCUAACCUUUUACCAUAAUUACCAACUCCUUCUCUCUUUUUUAAGGAGUUCUUUGCUUUUACUUGAUGUAAAUAAAAAAAAAAUGUGUCAAACUUAAUAACUUAAGAAAAAUUAAUUUAAUUUUACUAAACAAUUUUAAGGUUCGUGUUAGGAUCUUGACAAGUACUUAAAAAAAAUUGUUAUUCUUAUAUUUGGUUUUACUAUAAAAAAAGAAGAAGAAAGAAAAUCAAAUAUAAAUAAAAUUAGUUUAAAAUUUUUAUAUUUUAAAAUUAUUUAAUGUUUAUAUAUAGUAGUUAAAGUAAAUGAAACGAGUUUCAAAUAUUAUAUAAAAAUAAUUUAUUGAAUUUAAAUAUAUUUUUUAUUUAUUUUUUUCUUCUACUUUUACUCUUUAUUUUAUUUCUCUUAAAUUUUAUGAAAGUCAAAUAUAGCUUAAUGGUUUUUAUUGUUAUUAGUUGAGUUGAAGCUAAAAUUAUAAUUUUAAUGAGUAUUAUUGGUAUUAUAAAAAUUUUAUUCAACAUAAAAUUUAUAUUAACCUAAAUAAAAUUUAUAAUAAAAUUUUUACAUUCAUAUUAAACUAUUUUAACAAAAUAGGUAAUUUAGUUGAACUUAAAAACAAGCUUAUAUACUUCUUAAAAGUUAAUACACAUAUGACUUAUAUUUAAAAUAAAAUUGAAUAAUAAUUUUUAAGUUAUUAAAUUCAACAUCAAUUAAAUUAAAUUUAUUUUAAGUCAUACUAAAUUUUCAACCUUAUAACACAAAAUAUUAAUUUAAGAUAGCUCUAAAAUAAGAGUUAGUCAACUUACAAAUUAUAUCAUUAUACUACUAAUUAUCUUCUAACUACAAAAUGGGGUUGAAGGGACUUAAUAUUGUUGUAUGUCAUGAACCAAAUUCAACUCAAAUUUAUUUGAACCUUAUUUGACUGAGAAAAAUAAUGAUAAGUUAUUAAACCAACGCUUCAUGAUAUGAUUUUGAUAAAAUUAUGAUUUAUAAAUUACAUUUUAUCAAUAAAAGAAGAAAAAAAAAAUUAAACUUCUUGCAUGCAUCCAAAUUAAGUGGUUGUAGAUUCAACUCUUCAUGACAAUUGAGUUUUGUCAUUUUAUUUGAAAUGUGUGGACAAUAUGCUGUUGCUUCCUUUUAUCUCUUUGUGGGUUCCUGGAAUGUGUGGAUUAAAAAGAAAAGAAAGUGAUGGGUGAAGAUGGUGCUUCCUCACAUCUUCUCAUUAUUGGGUAAAUGCCAAAUUCAAUUACACAUAUAGUGAUAGGAAAAACACAUGUGAAGACACCUUUGGGAUGAAGUUUCAACUUUGACUUUUCAAAUUAGUAUUUUUUUCUAGGCCCAAGGCACUACUUGAUCUCCAAGAAUGGCCUUCCACCACGUAGAUGCAUUGAAUUUAAUAUGAAGUAGCCAUCAUCUACUUUUGUCAUCGUAUGUUAGAAAAAAUGGAAAAAAAAAAAAAGAAUUUUCAUAUUUGAUUUACUAUGAAUAAUAAUUAAAAUUAGUUAAAAGUUUAUAUAACUUUAAAUUAUUUAAUUGAUAUAUAUAAAUAAAUCAAAUGAAUUUUAAGAAGUAUUUAAAGUAAUUUAUUAGUUUUAGAUGUAUUUUUAUUUUAUUUUUGUAUUUUUAAGGAGUACAAUAUUGGUUAUUAUUAAGAAAAAUCUAAAAACUCCCAUAAUGAAAUUCCUCAAUCAAGCCAUGCUGAAAAACUAAAAAAAAAAGGAUUUCUUUAUUUAAUGUUUAUUUUGUAGUGAUUAUAUAAUAGUUUGAUUUUUUUGGUUCGUUCCAAUAAUGCAAAUGCCCUAUUUACACAAAAAUAUGAUAUAGAUUAGAUGUCUAAAUUGCCAUAAGAUUUGAAGUUGAUAAUGGAAGUAUGAAUUUGUUUCCUUAUAUAUGACAAGAGAACUAAAUUGUAUAAAUACUAUUUUAAAAUCUUGUCAAAUAUAAUUCUAAAAAUGAAAUAUUUAAAGAUAUUUAUAUAUGAUGUUUUUUUAUCUUUUAAAUUUCCUCCAAUAUUUCAUUCACAAUCUUUUCUGUAUUAUUAUUAUAAUUGGCCAUGAAGACUGAAAACUGUUAUUGUAAUAUAAAUAGUAGGAUUCUCAUCAGAAAAUUGUGAUUCUAAUAAAAAUAUUUUGGAGGAGUGAGUACUUGGUUUGUAUGAUGGGCAUAGGUGUUGUAUGAAAAAUAUUCAUCAAGCAUUAUUACAAUCAUUUUAAAGUUUUAAGGUGAACAUGCUCUAUAUAUAUUUAAUUACUAGACUGAUAAUUAAUAUUAAAGAUUUGAAUAAAAUUAUGACAAUUGUAAUUACUAGAUUGAUAAUUAAUAUGAAAGAUUUGAAUAAUUCUGAAAUUUGAUAUGGAGGAAGGAAGAACAAAAUAUAAAAAUUGCAAACAUGAACUCAAACUUAUUUUCUAUCUUUCAUCUUGUAUUUAUUUAUAUAAAACUCAAUUGUAAUAAAUAUACUAGUCAUUAAAUGUUUCAUAGCCUGAAUUAAUCAAGUCUAAUAGUCUUUAGUGAUGUCCUUUCAUAGACUAAUUAAUCAUGUAACUUGAUCUUAUUUUCUAAUGAAUAAAAAUCAAAUAAAAGAUAUCAAAAUAAUGGAAUUUGCAUUAUUUUUGUCAUCACUUCCCAUUCCACCUAUAAAGAUAAAUAUGUCAUGAAUUAAUUAAUACUCUAUUAUGAAGUUUUUAAGGAAAUUAUCCAAUUGACAUAUUUUAAAAUAUACAAGUCCGUUUUAUUUAAAUGUAAUUGGGUUAUACUGAGACAACGAUAUGUUUGUAUCGCUAAAAAAUUCAAAUCUUAGGAUGUAAAAUUAUCUAGUGUGAAGAACUUUAAUUUAUUGGAUAAUGGACAAUGAAUUAAUUAAUCAUUUAAUAUAUUACUAGAAUUACCUUCAAGACAAAUCUAUUUUAUUUAUUUUUAAUUAAAUAAUAUAUUUUAUUAAUUAAUUGAAAAAUGGUUAAAAAAACUUCAAAAGGUUUAACUUAAUAAAAUAGAUAAGUAAUAAAACCAAAGCAAAAAAGAAAAAUAACAAAAAAAUGUGAAAGAAUAUAGUCAUAGACUCUAGUAAUUGUGAUUAUGUUACAAAAAUAAAUAAAAUUAAAAGAAUACCAUUCACAUGUACGUCUACAUCAUUCGAACCAACUAGAUUAUGAAUUAUUUUAGAUAUCAAUUUAUAUUUAAUUUUUAUUAUUUAAAUAACAUUAUUUUUGUUCAAAACUUCCGAUGCUCAUGCGACAAGAAGUGGCAUUGGACGCCUAGGCUGCAAAUCGAGACUAAAGCACUCAUAAAAGAAUAUUUGACACACUGGACACGUUUAGCCAAACUUCCAAAAUGUGAAUACAUGAAAAUAUUAGUACCAUCUAAUUGCAUCUUAUUUAAAAAAUUCGUAGAUUUUUGGGAAAAAUACCUAUUUAAAAAAAUUCAAAUUUUUUUUUUAAAAUCACCUCCUAAAAUUGACUUCUAGAUAACUCUAAUAAUAAAAAUGUAAAUAAUCAAUGAAAUUAGAUACUUUCCAUAUAUAUAUAUAUAAUUUAAUUUUUUUUUCCAAUUUUCUUUAAUAUUUUGAUUAUUUACCAUCCAUAUUUAACAAAAUGUUUCUACUAGGAAGAGUGGAAAGAUUGUCUUUUUCAUACACUUGAAAGAAAAAAAAAGACAAAAUAAAAACCAAAUUUUGACAAAUACAAAUUUAAUACAUUUAUUUAAAAAUAAUUAAAAUUUUGUACCCUUUUGAACCAAAUGUAUCAUCUUUAGUAUCCCAUAUAUUACCUUGUUUUGAGAGUGCAUAAAAUUUGAAAAUUAUAUUUUUUUUUAAUGUGUAUAAAGGAGCACACUUUUCCAAAAUUAGAAUAAUUAAUCUUAAAUUGAUUUUAUUCCAAAGUCACCCCGAUGUCUCCUUGCUAUAAUUAACACAAUUUUUUUUUUUUAUAAAUAUUUUAUUAUAAUUAUUCAUUUGAUGUAGAUAAAUGUGUAUUUAUUAUGACUUAUCUUUUACAAUUUUAUUUAAUAUGUUUAAAUUUUGAUAGAUUUAUCAUUGCUAAAAUUGGCCUAUCUAAAUUUAAUCUGUUCAUUACUUUGAACAAUAAUCAUUAGAUUGGUAUUAAACAUUAAAUAAUACAUUGAAAUAAUAUUUUUUUCUUCAUAUUAAUAUUUAAUAUUUAUUUUCAAACUCAUGCUUUUGAUUAAUGUCAACAAUUUUAUCGUACAUAUAUUUUAAUUUCUUACUAGAAAACUAGUUUAAUGUGUAAUUAUUAAUUUUUUUAUAAAGUCUCAUAUUUCAUAUUUUCAGUCAAGUGAAGGUUUUUUUUUUUUUUUUUUCAAUUUUUAUUGAAAUUUUAUGGAAUAUUGAAUAUUUUCAAAGAUAUUUCCUUAAAACCAACUUUUUUAUAUUUUUGCAAAUAUUGAUAUUUUCAUCCUUCUUACAUAUAAGCCAAUCUUUUUAUUCUUACAUUUAUUUUUUUGAUUUUAAAAUAGCUUUACAAUAUUGUUCCCAAAUGGCAAAUUAUGAAAUAUGUCUUCAUAUACUAGUUAUAUUAAUGAUUGCUUUAAUAAAUGGUUUCUGUUUGAAGUCUCGUCUGAUUACGAAAUUUUUGACCAAGUCACGAAAAAUAAAAGUAGCCAUUUGACAAAAACAACCAUGACAAAACUGAAAAAACCCCAUAAAUGCUAAAUUGUCGCCAAAAACUCUAAAAAACGCUUCAACACCAAAACCCAAAACUUUGAAGAAAUAUUGACGAUGUUUUAUGAUAUUUUAUCUUUAUUUAUGAUUCACAAUUUUUUCUUUAAUUUCCUCCAAUAUUUCAAUUUAGUUUCAUAUUUUACACACAAUUUCUUAUUAUUAUUAUAACAAAGAAAAACACUAGUAUUAGAAUAUAAGUAGUUGAAUUAUCACACAAAAAUGGUGAUUUUAAUAAAAAUGUUUUGCAUGUGAGACUUUUUAUGAUAAAAACAAAAUUAUAUGAUAGGCAUGUUUUAUUUGUGUAAAAAACUCACUUUCAUCAUCAUAAAUUUAUAUUGACUUUAAUAAGGGUUUUUUUUUGUUUUUUUUUCAUGUUCAAUUUUCGACACUAGCAAAAGAUUUGAUUAAAAUGCUUGAUUGACUAUACUUCUAAUUAAUUAUAAAAGAGAUUUUAUUGUACCAGACUUUUUUUUUUCUCCGUCAAACCAAUAAUCAUCUUGAUGUUUUGGUACCAUAUACAAUUUUGAAUACUUGAAUUGGAAUUUCAUUAUAUUGGCUUUAGCUCUUAUCAAUAAUAAUUUGCAUUUUGAAAGAGUUUUCCUGAAGAUUAUAUUUUAUCUCACAUGAGUUUUACAUGAAAUUGGUAUCAAAUUUAUAUUUAAUAUAAAAUUACAAAUUGCAUGUACCCCACCUAUCUCUACAAAUAGCCAUAUUCAGAGUAAAUUUUGACUUCGCUUGUCUUUUAGUUGAUUUUUUUUUUAACUUUUAUAUCAAUUUUUUUUUAAAAAACUUAUUUAAUAAAAUGAGUAAAAUUCUUUAAAAUACUAUGUUUGUGAACUCAACCUAUACGACAAUCUGUCGAGAAGUAUGAUAAUUAAAUUAACACAUUGAAAAUGUCGAAGAAAAAUAUAGAUUUGAUUGGUAUAAGUCCUUAGGAGAAAGUUGCUUUGGAUUAAAUGAAUCUUUACACUCUUUUAGUAUUUAAUGAAUUUAAUAUGUGAGUGAUUUAAUCUAUGAUUUUAAGCCUACAAAAGGUUUUAAAAAUGAUUUCGAUAUGGAUCAAGUCCUAUUUGAUUUUCCAAUAUUUUUAUUUUAUAAAGAUAAAAAUUCGACCAUGUGGAGUUAAAUGAUAAUCAAAAGCUUGAUUUUGAGAGGAAUAAAAUCAACAUUUUUUAUAAUAAGUAUUGGACCAAGUGUGGGCUUAAUAAUAACCAAUAAACUUGAAUUUGAUAUAAAUAAAUAUAAAUAUUAUUUAUCAAAAAUAUUUAAUCUUGCAAAAAAUUUCAAAAAGGAAUACUUCUUUUAUAAUAAUAAUACAAAAGUACUUACAAAAGUACAUCCUUAUAAAAAAAUAUUACAGAUUAAUACAAAUUCACCGUAUUGGAGACUUCCCAACAUGCAAAGUAAGAGAGAAAUAUACUUAAUAACUUAAGUUAACUGUAAGGUAAAAUAUACUUAAAUUAUUGAUUUAAAAUUUAUUACUUAAUUUUCACUCUAAUUAUUAAGGUCGUUUGAUAAAAUUAACUUAAAAUUUAUUUUAAAUAAUCAAAUUAACAUAAUUAUCCUCAAAAAAUAUAACUAGAGUGAAUGAAAUCAAGUAACAAUAAAGGUUAUGGAGAGUCAAAAGAGAUAAUAUAAUUAGGGUAAAUGAGGAUAAAAAGAUAAAAUAAAAAUAUGGACUUCAAGAUAAGUUAAUUGUUUUUACCUAUUAUUUAAAUUUGUUUUUUUUACUUUAAGUCAUACCAUUAAAUUAUUUUACCAAAUACGCUUAAUUUACUUAAUGACUUAAAUUAAGUUAUUAAAUUACUUUUAAGUUAUUAAGUUAGUUUCUCAAACACCCACAUAAAGGUAAGGAACAAAAACCAAAGACAUAAUAAAUAUAAGUAGUGAGUAAUUGUGAUUAUCUUACAAAAAUAAAAUAAAAAUUAGAAGAACUCCAUUCACAUUUUGUCCACGAUCAUUCAAACCAACUAAAAUAGGAAUUAUUUUAGAUAUUGUUAUAACAGAAAGUAAUGAAUGUCAUCACAUUAUUAAUUAUAAUAAAUGUUAAUUAAAUAUUAUUUAUGACUUCCAUCAAUAUUUAUUAAUGGAAGUCAUUUGGAAAGCCUAUGAAAGGGCUUUCCAUCCCCUCUAAUAUGUAUCCUUUAGUAAGAAAGAAAUUUCUCCAUUCUCUCAUUUUCUCAACUCUUUUCUCUGAUUCUUUCCCCUCAUUAUAUAUAUUGUUAGAGUAAUAUAUAAUUUAUCUCUACUUUGAGUUGCGUUGCAUUUAUCCUCGUUUUAUAACAUAUAUCAAUUUAUAUUUAUUUUUUAAAUAGCAUUAUUUUGGUUAAAAACUUCAACCACCAAGUAAGGGCCAUUGGGUUCCUAAGCUACAAAUUGAGACUAAAACAUUCAUAAAAACAUAUUUGACAUGCCAGACAUGCGUGGACAAAUUGAAUACAUGUGGUAGAAAGGAGAUUAGGAGAGUUUGUAUCAUUUUUAGAGUGUGUUUGGUAGUGAUUCGGAGAAAUAUUUUUAGUUUUUCUAACAUUUAAAAAAUUUAUUUUUUAAGUAUAAAAAAGGUUAUAAACAUUUUCAAAAUCAUUGCCAAAUACACUCAUACUUAAAAGAAAAUUGAAAAAAAAAGAGAGAAAAAAAAUAAGAAAAAGAAAAAACAAUAUUGAAUGUAAAGAAAAAGUUAUGAAUAAUCAACGAAAGUGGAUAUCUUGAUAGUUUGUUUUCAAAAUAUUUAUUAAAAAUAAUUAAAAUUUUGUAUAUUUUAACAUCAAAUGUUUGCAUUUGACCAUCUCAUAUUCUAUGAAAGUGUAUGAAAUUUUGAUUAUUUUUAUAAAAUUUUCAUUUUUAUGAUUUUUAUUUUAAAUGUGCGUAAAGAAACACACUUUUUCGAGGUUAGGAUGAUUCAUUCUAAGCCCCUUCUAUCCUUCCUGGUUAUAAUUAACACAAAUUAUUUUUUUAUCAAUAUUUUAUUAUAAUUAUUUAUUUCAUGUAGAAAUAUGUAUGCUAAAUAUGACUUAUAAUUGGUAAAUAUAUUUAAAUAUGUUUAAAUUUUGUUAGAUUUAUCAUUAUUAAAAUUAAUUCAUCUUAAUUUAAUCUUGGAUCUAUUGUUACUAUGAAUAAUGAUCAUUAGUUUGGUAUUAAACAUAAUAUAAUAAGUUAAAAUAAUAUUUUUAUCUUCAUAUUAGUAUUUAAUAUUUAUUUUCAAACUCAUGUUUUGAUAAUUUCAAUAAUUUUAUUGCACAAAUAUUUUAUUUUCUUACUAGAAAACUAGUUUAAUAUGUUAUUAUUAAUUAUUUUAUUGCUUUUUAAAGUUUCAUAAAAGGUUUCCAUAUUUUUAAUCAAGUCGUGGGAUUUUUUCUUUUUUCAAUUUUUAAUGAAAUUUUAUGGAAUAAUGAAUAUUUUUAUAGAUAUUUCCUUAAAACUAACUUGUUUAUAUUUUCGCAAAUAUUGAUAUUUUCAUUUGGCCAAUUUUUUUAUUCUUACAUUUAUUUUCUCACGAAAUAUUGAAACUAACAAAUUACUGCAUUAUAUACUUAGGAUUUUAAAAUUGCUUUACAGUAUUGGUCCCAAAAAGCAAAACUUAAAAAAGGCAAACUAUAAAAUAUGUCUUCAUAUACUAAGUUAUAUUAAUGACAGAAUUAAUAAAUGGGUUUCUAUUUGAAUUCUCGCUUGAUAAAUUAACCUUAUUCAUCAUGACUUGUAUUUUGUAAUUGUGAAUGAAAAUCAAAUUUAUUGGAUACUAUAAAUUAACUUAUAAAAUUAUAAGAUCACAAAAUGAUCGGCCUUUCAAAUUUCAUUUCUACUGAUCUCCAUCAGCAUAAUUCUCAAUAAAAUUUACAUACAUUUAUAUUAGUUUAUAUAAAAGUUUAGAAAAAUAUUAAUUAAUGAAUUAAUUAAUUACUUUUACUAACAUUUUUAACAUAUAAAAGGAAUGAUGGUUUGAUCUAACCAAACUUUAUAAAUCUGAAAAAAAACCUAUAAAUACCAAAAUGUCGUCAACAAUUUCGAAAAAUGCUUCUAUACUAGGAGCCCAAAUCUUGAGGAAAUAAACACAACAUUUCACAAUUUUUUCAUCCCUGCCUAUGACCCACAUUUUAUUCUUUAAUUUUCUCCAAUAUCUCAAUUUAGUUUCAUAAUUUGCACACAAUUGUUUUUUUUUGGUUAUUAUAGUUGAUCAUAAAAUGAAAAACACUAAUAUUAAAAUAUAAGUAAUUGAAUUCUCAUACAAAAAUGAUGAUUUUUAAUAAAAAUGUGUUGCAUGUGAGACUUUUUAUGAUAAGAACAAAUCUACAUGAUCAUGCAUGUUUUAUUUGUGUAAAAUCAUUAUCAUAAAUUUAUAUUGACUCUACAAAGUUAUUUUGGUACCAUGUUCAAUUUUGAACAUGAUAGACAAUACUUCUAAUUAAUUAUAAAAGAGAUUAAUUUUCUUGUAUUACCAAUUUUUUUCCUUCAACCUAAUAAUCAUCUUCAUUCUUUGGUACCAUAUUCAAUUUUGAGUACUUGAAUUGGAAUCUCAUUAUAUUGACUAUAGUUCUUAUCAAUAAUAAUUUGCAUUUUAAAAAGUUUCAUGAAGAUUAUCUUUUUAUCUGGCAUGAGUUUUUCAUGAAAUUCCUAUCAAAUUCCUAUUAAAUUAUAAAAGUACAAAUUGCAUGCACUCCACCUAUCUCUAUAAAUAGCCAUAUUCAGAGUAAAUUUUGAUUGUUUGUUUGCCUUUUAGUUGACUUUUUUUUUUUUUUUUUCCUUUUUUACUUUUAUAUCUAUUUUUUAAAAAUUAAAAACUUAUUUAAUAUAAUUAGCUAGUAAAUGAAUAAUUUAUUAAAAUUUUUUAAAAUACCAUGUUUCAUUAUUCCAUCUACAUGGUAUUCUAAGUGAACUCAACCUAUAUGACAUGAAAACAUGGAAGAAAAAUAUAGAUUUGAUUGGUAUAAGUCCUUGGAGAAAGUUGCUUUGGAUUAAUUGAAUCUUUACACUUUUUUCAUAUUUAAUGUAUUUAAUAUGUUAUUGAUUAAAUCUAUGAUUUUAAACCUACAAAAACUUUUAGAAAUGAUUUGAACAUGGAUCAAGUCUCCUUUGAUUUUCCAAUAUUUUUAUUUUCUAAAGAUAAAUUUUCAACCUUGUGGAGUUAAAUGAUAACCAAAAACUUGAUUUUGAGAGGAAUAAAAUCUACAUUUUUAUGAUAAAAGUUGAACAAAGUAUGGUCUUAAUAAUAACCAAUAAACUUGAGUUCAAUGUAAAUAAAUAUAAAUUACUUAUUCCCUCUUUUAAGUAGCUUCAUGCAUCUAUAACGUGUUAUCAAUUUUCAUAAUUUUAUUUCAAAGUCCAAAUGUUCCAAAUACGAUUUUGCACAAAUACUAGAAAAUUUACAAUUUAAAAAGGAUUUACUUGACUUCACUUAAAAUCUACAAAAAUCCAUGAACUUUCACUAUUAUUAUAAAAAAAUUACAAUUCUAAAACCCUCAAAUAUCAAGCUGCCUUUACAUAUAAAAAGGACCCCUCUCUAUUACAAAAUCUCUUUUUAUACUUUUCAAAUAUCUCAUAUAAAAUAUUAAUUGGAUAAAUAUUUAUAAAAGAUCUAAUAUUAGAAAAUUUUCAAAAAAGAAUAUUUAGGAAAAUCUUACAAAAGUAUAUCCAAAUAAAAAAAAAUGAAAGAUUAAUUAUAAAUUCACAAGAAUAUGAGACACAAAGUAAAGGGGAAAUCCAAACUAAAUAAUUAAGAGUGUGUUUGGUAGUGAUUUUAAGAAGUGUUUCUAAAUUUUAUAACAAUUGAAAGUUUUCAUCAUUCAAGUAUUAUAAAGCCGAAAAACACUUUCUAUAAUCAUUGUCAAACGCACUCUAAGUACGUCAAAACAUUGAGAGUUAAACCUGACUCCCAACAAUGAGCAUAAUGAUGUUUGUGAAGGAUUAAUAGUAAACUUAGUCUUCUGCAAGCCUUCAAGGAUUAUGGAGUUAUACACUUUUUCUGUAAUGAUCCAUAUUUAAUAAUGUAGAUAUUAUUUGCUCAAAGGGAUUCUCACGUCUUUAAAACUUGUCUACAAGUUAAAAGGAACCCAUACAUAUAUAGACUUGAUAAUUUUCUUCCUUAUCUGAUAUAGAAUAUCACAAAUACUCUCAUAUUGAUUUAACAUUUUUGUUAUGUUUUAUGGGAUUACGAGAUCAAAUAGACAAACACCCUGGGCCAAACAAACCCUUACAUCAGGGUUGGAAAUCGGUAUUUUAAAGCUGUGAGGCCCCUUUGGAUAAAAAACGGACAAUAUCUAUAUGAUUGAAAGUGGGCGUUACACAUUUUGUUGCCUUCUUUGCCUAGAAAAGGUAAGGGAUAGAAUUUCAAUGAAGUGCAGAAAGAGAACAAAAAAAGUGAAGACGAAAGUAGGGAAAGACUGCUUUACUUCCAGCUCCCAGUUAGUUCUCAGGGUGAUGGUGAGAAGAGAGAGCAUUAGACUAUGAGUGCACAUAUGAUACCCCACCAGAGCCCCUAUUAAUUUGAAGCAUUUUUAGCAGACCAGUUUCAUGAAAAAUCUGUUGCUUGACAAAAAGCAUAAAGCUAGUUAAAAAUGGAGAUGAGUGGUGAACUUUUACCUUGUCUCCAUUGUGGAAGACGAAAGCUAAUAAAAUAGCAGAAGGAAUUCCCACAAGAUAAUACGAUCCUAGAUUGAUAAAGGCACCAAUCUUCUGCCAACCACAUCCUCUACCAGUGCCUAAAUGUUAAUGCAUGAUGAACAAAUAAAUUAGCUGCUGCAGACAAUACUUAUGAUAGGGAAAAAUAUGAUAUGUAUUUCUUUUAAUAUCGAAGAAAUUAAUGCCAGGAGCAGUAUGACGAGUACUGCUAAACAUGCAGCUUGUAGAUGCCCUGCCUCGAGUUCAUUUGAAACAUGAGUGCUAUACAGAGAGAAAGAAUCGGUUUAAAAGUACAUAUUCAAUGUUGAAGGCUUGUUUUGAAUUUACAUUUGAACAUCUAAUCCACAUGGGAUGGAAGUCCUAGCUGUUAGAGAUGAGCUUCCAAUAAUGUUAAAUGUUCAGUUUAGAACGACUGAGUAUCUCCUGGCUUCACCGAGUCCACAGGGGAUCAUCCAAACUGUUCCAGCUGUAUGGAGGCUAGACAAUGGAUUUGUAUUAGAGAAAUUAUUAAAAGUCCAUGGAAAUCAAGAAAAUCUUGGAAAGGAAGAUGAAUGACAUACUGAUUCAGAGCUCACGUGAUUGAAAGCACUGCAGUCUCCAAAUUCGGAUUAGGAAGGAGACCAGAUAGGAGGAGCAUCAUCUCUAAUGACCACCACUCCAUAUUGUUCAACAAUACACAUUUCAAUAGUAGGAAAAGAAACGAUAAAAUAAAAGGCAAAUUCAGAAUUUCUGACUUGUUAGGAAUGUAAGGCAGUUGUAAAACUCUGGCAUUCUUUUCACUUCCCUUUUGUUGUCUUCUUGACAACCAAAUGAAGUAUUAAUAAAUGGGGGCUAAGACCAUAACAGCCGAAGGAAUUACAACUCUAUUCCUUCACGGAAUCAUGUAUUACCAAAUGAAGUAUUAAGAAGGAAAGAGAAAACCUCUAACCUGCAACCAUCCAACGUAUCAUGUAUUACCAAGAGUAAACUGAGCUUCCCAAUUAUGAGCUUCUUAUAAUAAAAAUAUGAGAUUUGCGGAGUGCUUGGCAUUUUUUUUUUUCUUGUUAAUCCUUAUCAGUUUAUUAAAAUUUGCGUAUUAAAAAUAACGUGAAAGAUAGGGUUGCCAUAUGAAGAGAUCAUUUUGGGAGCUUACUCAAACCUUCUCAUCAAGGUUAAAUGCUUAAAUUGGAUUAAAAACUAUGAAGACAUUUUUCGCACAUGGAAAUAAGGAAUAAGAAGAGAGAAUUCAUAGAAAUUCUCAUUUAUUAUUGUGUUUGCAUUACUUGAAGAGAAGGGGAUGGGUCUUGUUUAAUUAAUUAAAUAAUUUAAUUUUUUAAACUCCUACUCGUUUAAUUUUUUGUUUUUAAAAAAUUUAAUUAUAUUAAAAAUUGUGACAAAGCAAUAUCCCAAGUGUCACAAACUUGCUUGCUUGCCUUUUUUUUUUUUUUUUUUUUAAAUUUUAAAUUUAAAUUUAUCUUAAACCAUUUAUUUUUAUCUAAAUCCUUCUCAUAAGAUAGAGUUGGAUGCUUAAAAAAAAAAAAUCCCUUUUCACCCCUAAAAAUAAAAAUAAAAAUAGAAAUUAAAAUUCAUUUUAAUAAAAAUAAAAAAACUAUUUCUGUUAGGAUUUUUAUUGAUCCUACAUUCUAAUUUACUUCUAUUGUCAUUCUCAUUCCUAUAUGAGAAUCUAAAAACAAAAAUAAAAAUAAUGGUUGGGUAUGUGAAAAUAUGGAAAAUAAUUUUAUUUUUUUAAUUUUAUUUAUUUAUUUCUUACUCAUACAAUACACAUUGAGUACCGGUCUCAUUCUUACUCUUAUAUAGCAAACACAAUCUCAAAAAAAAAAAAAUAAGAACAAUAUUUGAAAUAUGAAAAAAAAAAAAACAAAAUUUUAGAAUCCAAUCAACCAAAAUAAGAAUUAUGUUCAAAAUAUAUGAAAGAAAACAAAAUUUUAGGAUCCAAUCAAGAUAGAUAUUUUUGCAAUAUUACAUGGUAGAUACUUUAUGAUAACAUUUUCUUAAUCCUCGUACUAUUUUCAUUAAUUAACUUGCCUUUUCCUUUUUAUCAAGGGAGAUAAUGAAAAAACUUUUACAUCAAAGUAAUAAUAGCAUAAAAGAAAAAUGAGAAUAAUGUAAUCAUGCAUCAUUUAAAACAAAAAAAUUAAUUUUUUUUAGAACUUUGACUUUUCAUUUUCAAAGAAUAUGUAUUUUGGGAAAAAUAAUCCUUAAUACUCUUAAACAAUCAAAUUAAUCAUCAUUGUAAACUUACCCUCAAACUCCUCUUCUCUUACCCCCACCAACUAUCACUUUCUUUGUUUGUCAUUUUAAAAAAAAAAUAUUUUGACAAGACAAAUGAGUUAUCAUUACUAUUAUUUUUUUUUUUAAAACAUAACUUUUUGACACAUGACAAUUACCAUACGUUAUGAUUUUUUUUUCUCCUCCUCUAUAAUAUCUCUAUCUUCAUUUUGCUUUUGUUUUUUAAAAUAUGUUAGCUUGAUGAAUUCUUUUCAAUUUCAAUUUUUUUUUAAUAUUUCAUCUUUUUAUAUUUAUUAAUUUUAAUUAUUUAUGGACAUUUUAAACAUAAAAUAAUAAUAUAUAAUAAAUAAUUAAUGAUAAUAAAUUUAAUAUACAAAUAAAUACAUGAUAAACAAAUUUAAAGAUUUAGAACAUAAAUUUUUCUAAUGUUUAAUAUUUUUAAUCAAAUAAUAUGAAAAUUUGGUUGUGAUUCUAACAUUUUGUUUUAUUAAUUUUUUUUAAUUUUUAAUUUAUAUUUUUCAUAAAAAAAUGUAUUUAAUUGGUUAUAUUAAUUUUUUUUAAUUUUAUUUUAUUUUUGUAUAGUGAUACUACGCAUUGAUCAACAUAACCAUAAAAAAGUAUCAUUCUUUUAUGAAAAAUGUAUUACUCUUUUAUGAAAAAAACACCAUUUUUUUAAUUAAAAUAAAAAGUAACAGUAAAAUAUGUUACUUUUAACACACGGUACUUUUAAUAUAUUGUAGAAUUACUUUUUUUUCUUUUAUUAUUAUUAUAAAAGAGUGGUAUUUUCUUUUUUGAAAGUUAUGUUUAUUAAUGCGCAACUUCAUCAUAAUUUUUUAAAUUUUUUUUUAAAUAAAUUUAAAAGAAAUUAAACAUAAAUGAUGAAAUAUAAUUUUUAUGAAAAAUAUAUUUUAUUUUUAUUAAAAUUUUAGAAUUUUAAUAAAGCAAAAUGUUUGAACCACAACCAAGUUUUUUAUUUUUUUUUAAAUAAAAAUAUUAAACAUUUUAACUACAAAAAAAAGUUAAAACUACAUUCAAGUAAGAAUUGUAAGCAAAAAGUUAAAAAACAUGAUAAUUGAUUUUCAAUUUCACAUGAAAAUUUAAAAUUUUUUAAAAAUAGAAACAAUAAAAUAAUAUGAUAAAAGUAUUUUUAUUUAAUCUAUAAUAAGAUAUAUCAAAUAAAUAAAUAUUUUAUUUAAUAUGAUAUAUAAAAUCUUAUAUUCUAAACCUCUUAGUACAUUAAUUUUUUCUCAUUCAUUAUUUAUCAUAUACUAUCAUUGUUAUUAUUAUUAUGAUUAUGAUUGUUAUAUAUUUAAAGUGUUUCUAAAUAAUUAAAUUGAUAACUAUGAAAAGGUGUAAGAGUGAAAAAAACGAAAAUUUAAAAAAUAUUGAUUAUUUUCUAGAUAAAAUGAAGAAAAAAGAAAAAUAAUGUGGCAAUUUGAUUAGUUACAUGUCAACCUUAAAAGUAAUUGACAUCUUUUAACUUGUUAUUUCAAGGGGUUUUUUUUUUAAAGAAGGAUAAAGGAAUAAAAGGAGUUACUAUUUGUAUACAUGUUCAUUGGAUUACUUUUUAAAAGUUCUUAAAUAUUCUAUAUUUUAUAAGUAAUGAACCUUUACAUAGUUUACCCAAAGAAAAAUCCUUUUCAACAAGGGAGAGGAAUGAAGAAACUUAUACAUCAAAGUAAUAAUAGCAUAAAAGAACAAAGUUCAGAUAUGCAUUACUAUUUGAUAAUACUUGUAACUUACAUUUUGUUGUUCAAUUUCCUCCAAUAUUUCAAUUUAGUCUUAUACUAUAGCUGACCAUAAAAUGAGAACUCUAAUAUUGCAAUAUAAGUAGUUGAAUUGUGACAUAAAAAGAGUGAUUUUAAUAAAAAUGUUUUGCAUGUGAGACCUUUUAUGAUAAGAAGGAAUCUAUAUGAUCACGCAUGCAUGUUUUAUUGAUGUAAAAAACUCAAUUUUGUUGACUCUAACAAGUUUUUUUGGUACCAUGUUCAUUGAACACCACCAAAAAGAUUUGAUUAAAAUGCAUGAUUAACAAUACUUCUAAUUAAUUAUAAAGCAAUAAAUUUUCAUGUACAGUACAUUUUUUUUCCUUCAAUGUAAUAAUUAUCUUGAAUUUUUGGUACCAUAUUCAAUUUUGAGUUCUUGAAUUGGAAUUUCAUUAUACCGACUUUACUUCUUAUGGAUAAUAAUUUGCAUUUUGAAAGAGUUUUCAUGGAGAUUAUAUUUUAUCUCACAUGAAUUUGCCAUGAAAUUCGUAUCAAAUUGAUAUGUAACAUAAAAUUACAAAUUGCAUGUACCCCUCCUACAAAUAGCCCUAAAUUUAGACUGUGACUUUGAAUUCAUAUUCUUAUAAACAGAAUUCAUAGAUUCUUAAUAUGCAUAGAAAGAGAAUUAUUGAAUUUAAUGUAUAUUUCAGCUCAAUGCACUGUCUCAACAGGGAUUAUAGCGUCAUAGACUCUAUCUGUAGCCUUCUUUGCCUAUACAAAAAAGAGAGAAGACUUCAAUUGGAGGAGAAAAAAAGGAGACUCAAGCACUGAAAAUGAAAAGAAGGCAAGAAUGCUUUACUUCAUCCUCCCAGUUAGUGCGUAGGGUUAUGAUAAGAAGGGACGACACUUGAACUAUGAGCCCACAUAUAAUCCCCAACCAGAGGCCCUAAUCCAAACAUUUUAACAGACAAGAUUACAUGAAAUCACUUGCUUCAAGUUAAUUGGAGACGACAAAAAACGUAUUCUAGUAAAAGGGAGAAUGGUGAACUCUUACCCUUCCUUCAAUGUGGAAGACAAAAGCUAAUAAAAUAGCACAUGGAAUUCCCACAAGAUAAUAUGAUCCUAGAUUGACAAAGGCACCAAUCUUCUGCCAACCGCAUCCUCUAGCAGUGCCUAAAUGUUCAUGAACAAUAAAAUCAGCCGCUACAGUCUACAUUCAAGUUCUGCAGAAGAUCAUCUUCAAUAUUCCAUUCAGUUGAUGGAGAUUAUAUUCUAAGUGCAAAGUGAUUGUGUUUUUUGUGACAACAAAAAUGUGUUUUGUUUAGUGGUAAAUGUUGACAUUACUUCAAAUAUUGAGUAAUGAGCAAAAACAUUAUCAAAUAAAAGGUGGUGGUUUGUCUGUUUUCUUAUGGUCUGGAGUCUUAAAGAAAUGGAUGAUAAUUAUAUUAGUAGUAGAUGAAAGUCGAGAAAACCUGAAAGAACACACUGCAUUCCAUCUAGGAAGUUGGAUAAUGCAAGAAUUGGCAUCAUGGCUGCUACAUAUGUGACCACUUCUAUUUCAUUGCUGUAGGCAUAGCCCCAGAUGUUCCUUAUCAAUAUCAGAAGUAGUCCAAUGAGAGUGCCUUCAGCUAGGGCCAUGACUAAGACGACAAAUACUGCUAAACGUGCAGCUUGUGGAUGCCCUGCCCCAAGUUCAUUUGAGACCCUUGUGCUGUACAGAGAAAUGAAGAAUACAUGCAUCAAAUCAAAGUUGUGGGAGGCAUGGUUUUGAGUUUCCAUUACAAAAUCAAGUUCACUUGUGGUUGAAAUCAAGAUGAUACCCUACAAAUUAAUUAGUUGACUUUUUUGUAAACCAAGUAUGGGAAUUUUGGCUCUGAAUCAAGUCCUAGCCGUUAAUGAUAAAAAGUUGAAUGUUGAAUACAUGUUCAAUUUAGACCGACUUACCUCACAGCUCCACUGAGUCCAAAGGGGAUCAUCCAAACUGUUGCAGCAGUAUAAAGGCUGGGAAACAAAUGUGUUCCACUAAGAUCAGACUAUAAUGUGGGGUUGUACAUAAGAAAUCAAUAAAACUCAAUGGAAAUCAAGAAAAUCCUAAGAAAUGAAGACAGAUAAUGUUGGGAUUCAACACUCACCAGAUCGAAAGCACUGAAGUCUGUAACUUUGGAUUAGGAAGGAGACCAGAUAGAAGAACCAUCAGCUCAAAUGACCACAUUUCCAAGCUGUUCAAUUUUAUGGAAAUAAACUGCAUUAAAAUCUUUAGACACAUUGAAUACAAAUCACGAUAAUGAGACUGUUUCAUAGUGGAGGAAGAUAAAAUGAAUUUUCCAGAUGUUUUUGUUAUCUUCUUGAAAGCAUAAGAAAUGGAAAUUUACCAGACCAUAACAGCAGAAGGAAUAGCAAGUCUAAGAAAACUAGGGAUAUUAUGCAGGGCCUCCUUUGAAAAUCCAGUCCUAGUUUUCGAGCAAGAAGAAGAGAAUUUAACAUAUAGUGCCAGCAAUAAAACAUUUAUCCAACAGGAGAUGCUAUUUGCCAAAGCAGCCCCUUUACUUCCGAGGCCAGAUUUGAAAACCAGAAACCAGCACACCAGAACAUGCAGUAAGGUUGUGAUUCCAGAGCUCAGCAUCAUUGGGAAGACUAUGUUUUGGGUUUGCAAGAAUCUGACAAGGCACUGAAGGAGGCCAUAGGCAAAGAGGCUCGGGAUCAUGAAACGGGCAUAAAGUUCGGCUUCUUGUGAUAUCUCAGGAUCUUGGCCCACGGCCAUUAGAAUGGUUCCUGUAUAUGCCCAAAUGGUAGCAAGAGGUAUGCUAACAAUUAGAAGAAUAAGCAUGGCCCUCUGCAUGUGUAUACUGAGCAUAUGAUAUUGCUUUGCUCCAUAGGACUGCCCACAUAAGGUAUCCAAUGCACUUGCCAUCCCCA